ensembl:antisense Gm15624 predicted gene 15624
AAAGGAAGGACACAGAGAUGCUCCAGUGGCUGCAGCAAAAAAAAGAGACAGAGUCUGACAGCACUUAAAACUGAACAAAGCACUCAUUAAAAGGAAGCCACUAUCAUUAUGAUGAAGAUGAAGAAGCCUAUAAGCAUUGGACUCCAGCUCAGACAGGCUCCUCCACACUCCUGGGGCUUGUCUAAGGCUCUCUCUCCUUACUCUGAUCAACUGCAUCUAGCUUCUCUCACCAUAUCUAAGCACCUGUCCUGAUGGAGCUCACACUGGCCACCUACCCCUCAGCCAACAAUCUUGCAGAGAAAGGCAACUGAACUUCUUAGCCUCUCUCCGAUUCACGUGUCCUCUCCAUCCUGUUGGCCUAAUUUCACUUCAGCCUUAAAACACUUCUGUUACGGUAAGUCUCCCCAUUACAUUCUUUUUAAGUCUCCCAAUAUCCUGAGCUCAGACUCUACUCCUUCAGCUUCCUUCCACGGCCAGCUUCCCAAAACACAGUCAUGUUAUCCCUGCUUAAAGACUUCUUGUGCGGGCCAGGGAGGUGGCUCAAUAGGUAAAUGCCACCAAAUCUAACAACUUGAGUUUGAUUCCCAGGAUUAACAUGGUAGAAAGAACCAGCUCAUACAAGCAAUCUCUCUCUCUCUCUCUCUCUCACACAGAGAGAGAGAGAAUAUAUAUAAUAAAUUUUUUUUAUUAACUUCACUGUGAACAACAAUAACCCCUCCUUUGAUGCAUGCCAAAGCUCUCCCCUUCUGGCUGCUUGGAUCUACUUCAAGCCCUUUGCCCUGCAAAUAAAAAAAGAGUGUCACCUGGACCCCACUCUUCAUCCAUCACUACUUAGGUCAAUAGUCAUCUCCUUCCUGAAAUUCCCCAGCUUCUCCCUGGAGAGCCUGUUAUUUCCUUUCUGCCCUUGUAUAGACACCUUGGACAAAGUUUUGUUACAGCACCACACUUUACUGAAAAUACUGCCUACCAUCUUCUGUCCAACCUCCCCCUAAGAGGAGGAGGACCCCAAAGUGUCUAAGCACUGAGCACAGUGCCUUGCCCAGAGAGGGACAUAAUAGUCAAAAGUUAUUGUGCCAGCCGGGCUCCGGGCAUAAGAUCAGGGCCAGCCCAUAAAAGCAGAGCUGGAGAGCUGACUCAGAGGUUAAGACAGCAAUGUGCAACCGCAAAGGCCUAAGUUCAGGCUCGAGUACCCACUAGCAAGCUCAGCACUGUGAGGGAGAAGACAGUAUUGUCGGUGUUUGCUGGCUGCUUCAAGAGGCCCAUAGUGAGACUCUGUCUCAAACAAACAAACAAAACAAACAAAGGAAUAGAGUGUUAGAGAAAGCUUCCUUCUUUGACCUCCAGGGAUGUGCACAGGGACACACACUCAGACACAUAUGUGCAGAUAUCACACCACAUUCACACAUACC